AACGAACGCUGGCGGCAUGCCUAACACAUGCAAGUCGAACGACACCUUCGGGUCUAGUGGCGCACGGGUGCGUAACGCGUGGGAACCUGCCCUUAGGUUCGGAAUAACUCCCCGAAAGGGGUGCUAAUACCGGAUAAUUUCUUCGGACCAAAGAUUUAUCGCCUUUGGAUGGGCCCGCGUUGGAUUAGCUAGUUGGUAGGGUAAAAGCCUACCAAGGCGACGAUCCAUAGCUGGUCUGAGAGGAUGAGCAGCCACACUGGGACUGAGACACGGCCCAGACUCUUACGGGAGGGAGGAGUGGGGAAUAUUGGAAAACGGGCGAAAGCCUGAUCCAGCAAUGCCGGGUGAGUGAUGAAGGCCUUAGGGAUGUAAAGCUCUUUUACCCGGGAUGAUAAUGACAGUACCGGGAGAAUAAGCGCCGGCUAACUUCGUG
rnacentral:rRNA from 1 species